GUACGGCAAGCUUUUACUUUAUGAUCAAUGUUACCUUAAAUUUCUAUUGAGUAACAAAUGUUACAAGAUAUGUAUGCGAACAAUAAUACCAGAAGCUGAUCGCUCAUCAUCGAAUGGAGUUAAUUACUUCGCUUAUACAAAAUAGUUUGUUAGUAUUACGAUGCAUAAUCUGA
rnacentral:other from 1 species